CUACCUAUAAGACUGAGGAUAACUUCGGGAAACCGGAGCUAAUACCGGAUAAUAUUUUGAACCGCAUGGUUCAAAAGUGAAAGACGGUCUUGCUGUCACUUAUAGAUGGAUCCGCGCUGCAUUAGCUAGUUGGUAAGGUAACGGCUUACCAAGGCAACGAUGCAUAGCCGACCUGAGAGGGUGAUCGGCCACACUGGAACUGAGACACGGUCCAG
rnacentral:rRNA from 1 species